UCAGUUGUUUUUUUUUUUUUGUUUUUUUUUAAUUUUUUUUCUUCCUUGAUAGAUUACAACCUCAUUUAAGAACACAGUGGUGUCUUGCUGUCUUUUCUAGCUAGC